UACGUAGGAGGCGAGCGUUGUCCGGAGUACUGGGCGUAAAGCGUGCGCAGGCGGUGAUGUAAGACAGGUGUGAAAUCCCCGGGCUUAACCUGGGAACUGCAUUUGUGACUGCAUCGCUGGAGUGCGGCAGAGGGGGAUGGAAUUCCGCGUGUAGCAGUGAAAUGCGUAGAUAUGCGGAGGAACACCGAUGGCGAAGGCAAUCCCCUGGGCCUGCACUGACGCUCAUGCACGAAAGCGUGGGGAGCAAACAGG
rnacentral:rRNA from 1 species